rnacentral:rRNA from 1 species
UACAGAGGUGGCAAGCGUUGUUCGGAAUUACUGGGCGUAAAGGGCGCGUAGGCGGUUCGUUAAGUCCUGUGUGAAAUCCCCCGGCUCAACUGGGGAACUGCACAGGAAACUAGCGGGCUUGAGUUCGGGAGAGGGAAGCGGAAUUCCGGGUGUAGCGGUGAAAUGCGUAGAUAUCCGGAGGAACACCGGUGGCGAAGGCGAGUCUCUGGACAUUUCCUGACGCUGAGGCACGAAAGCCAGGGGAGCAAACGGG